ACUCCUACGGGAGGCAGCAGUAGGGAAUCUUCCACAAUGGGCGAAAGCCUGAUGGAGCAACGCCGCGUGGGUGAAGAAGGUCUUCGGAUCGUAAAACCCUGUUGUUAGAGAAGAAAGUGCGUGAGAGUAACUGUUCACGUUUCGACGGUAUCUAACCAGAAAGCCGCGGCUAACUACGUGCCAGCAGCCGCGGUAAUACGUAGGUGGCAAGCGUUAUCCGGAUUUAUUGGGGCGUAAAGGGAACGCAGGCGGUCUUUUAAGUCUGAUGUGAAAGCCUUCGGCUUAACCGGAGUAGUGCAUUGGAAACUGGGAGACUUGAGUGCAGAAGAGGAGAGUGGAACUCCAUGUGUAGCGGUGAAAUGCGUAGAUAUAUGGAAGAACACCAGUGGCGAAAGCGGCUCUCUGGUCUGUAACUGACGCUGAGGUUCGAAAGCGUGGGUAGCAAACAGGAUUAGAUACCCUGGUAGGAUAGCG
rnacentral:rRNA from 1 species